CCUUCGUUUCGGAAGAUGGCAUCAAUGCUGAGCAACAAAACAGGGCCUUCGAAGUUGUCGUUGUCCAGGAGUUUCCAUGCUUUCGAGGAGAAGACAUCCGCCAUAAUUUCACUGGAUUGUUCCAUCAUAUCCUCGAGCUACAGGGCAUACACGCCUACUUUGAUGAGCAAGAUUUGCCCAAGGGAGAUAGAAUUGGGGAGAUAUUGGAGGCCAUAAGCAGGUCCAAGAUCUUGGUUCCUAUCUUCUCCAAGCGCUACCGAAUCGCAUUGGUGUUUAAGAGAAGUUGCCAAGAUGGUGGGCAAGACAGGCAGAUUAUUCCCGUCUUUUUUGACGUCGAUCCAAAAGACGUAAGGUGUGUCAGAGCGGCCAUUUGAAGCUGCCUCUCAGAAGCACCAGACGGAAAGGAGGGACAGCUUGAGCGAGGUCGAUGGAUGGAAGCACGCACUGACAUAUGUUGGAGGAAUUUCCGGCUUUGAACUAAAGAGCUACAAUGGAUAAACAUAUUCUGACAGCCACGGACACAAAUAGAAAGCAGAGAUCAAGAGGAGCUUGUCAAUUCAAUCACUGCAGACAUGCAGAGUAUUUUAGUAACCAAGUUGCCCCUUUACGAGAAAUAAUACCUUGUUGGUCUUGGGACGCGUGUUGAAAAGAUGCUGAAGUGUCUAGACUUUAAUCGCCCGGAUCGUUGGAAUCCACGGCAUUGGUGGUGUGGGGAAACAACACUUGCCAGGGCCAUCUAUAACAGAAAUCGUCACUCGUUUGGAGCUAGUAGAUUCAUUGAAAAUGUAAGGAAAGAAUCGAACUCAGAACUCGUCCAUCUUCAAAAACAGCUCAUUCAAGAUAUUUGCAAAGACAAAGAUAAAGUGGAGAUAAAAACCCAAAGUCCAGCGACCCAAAAGAUUAAGAAGAUCAUUGGUUUGAAGAGUGUUCUUCUUGUUCUUGAUGAUGUCGACGACAAAAAACAGCUUGCUGCAUUGACUGGCGACAUAAGCUGGUUUGCUCCAGGAAGUAGAAUUAUCAUCACCACAAGGCAAGUGGGGGUCCUGGGAUUGGCAGGAUUGCAGGAGGAAGCGAUUUGUAUGCUUGAAGAAUUGGAUAAAUAAGAAUCUGUUAGACGUUACACAAGUAUCGUAUCAGAAUCGGCAACAUCAUGAUUUCAGGAAACAAAUUGGGCAGUGAUCCUCUAUCUUGCCUUAUCCAUUAUUCUGUUGUACAAACGAGUAA